rnacentral:rRNA from 1 species
CAGUAGCCACGGUAAUACGUAGGUCCCGAGCGUUGUCCGGAUUUAUUGGGCGUAAAGCGAGCGCAGGCGGUUAGAUAAGUCUGAAGUUAAAGGCCGUGGCUUAACCAUAGUACGCUUUGGGAACUGUUUAACUUGAGUGCAAGAGGGGAGAGUGGAAUUCCAUGUGUAGCGGUGAAAUGCGUAGAUAUAUGGAGGAACACCGGUGGCGAAAGCGGCUCUCUGGCCUGUAACUGACGCUGAGGCUCGAAAGCGUGGGGAGCAAACAGGAUUAGAUACCCCUGUAGUCCCUGUCUCUUAUACA